rnacentral:lncRNA from 12 species
UCAUAAAUUAUUUUGAUUAUUUUGUUUUGCAGGGCAGUACAUUCUCUGCAGUAUAGAUAAGACUGCUAGCAAGAGGUUCAUUAACAGCUCUGUCUCAUCCCCAAAAAAACCCCAAAUCAACAAGCAAGUAGAUGUGAAAUACUGCAAGCUAAGACUUGUGAGAUGAAUGCUGUUCUGGUGAUGUUGCAAUAGUGAG